ACAGACUCUUUUGAAUCUCCUGUCUCUCUCGCCCUCUCCACUGUCGGCUCCCGAAUACUGAUGGUCCUCGGGGUUCUUUGGGAAACUCUAUUCACCCUGCAACAGUCCAUUCUAACUGGGAGAUGGAAUCACACCAGUUACUUCAACUGAGAGAUUUUACCACUGAAGAAUUGUUAACUUGGUAAAACAUUCACCAGGCGACCGAGAAGGUGAAAGAACUCUCAGAUCAGGUCAAAAUGUGAGCUCUCCCAGUCACGCCUUUCCUGCACCAUCACGGACGCCAGCCCUCUGACACGGAAAAACAUACAGAAGCGGAUUUCUCUGCAUGUAGGAGGCUCAAUGUGGAAUCAAAGAACAAAAAUGGAGAGUGUAAGCAGCCAGUUUGCUAAUGAAUUGUCUGUUGAAUUGGCCUAUUGAGAACAGGUUGCUGAGCCUAGCUUGUCAGGGCUGCCUGGGUAUAGGCUUUGACCAUAGCAGCUCUGGAAAUAGUCUUGUUUCUCCUGGACUGUGUUAAAUGAAUGUCACCAAGGGUUGAGUCCCGAAGAGCAGGCUUGUCACUAAGAAGGUCUUCAAAUGAGAUGUCCAAACCAAUAGAUGUGCAAACCAGAAGAUGAACACAAGAGAUGUGAAUGUGCAAGGCUACGUGACUCCUCUAAUUCCUUGGUGGCAGAAUCCAAAGAUACUGACAUGGGUAAAAUGAUGGAUAAAGAAUUCAGAAGUUUACUUGCAAAAAUUUAUCAAUGACUUCAAAGAAAAUACACAAAAGCAGAUGAAUGAAAUAAAAAAAUCAAUUCAAGACUUGUAGAAUAAAGGCAGAAAAAGAUGAGAAAGUCAGGCUUAUGGGUGGAAAUUAAGCAAUGAUUAAUUGAGAUUUUGUGUGGUGGGGGGGCAGCAAAUGGAUAUGCUGGGAAUGAAAAACUCAAUGAAUCAAGAAAAACAGUAGAAUGUAUAAUCAAUGGACUGGGCCAUAUGGAAGAAAGAAAUCAAUGGUGGAAGACAAAAUUGAGAAACUACCACAUCAGGGCAUCAGAAGUGGGAGAUGGAGCAGGCAACCUCAACUUCGAAGAAUUCUAGAAUUUUAGCAAGACACAAAACCCAAGAAUCGAAGUAGAGGGAACUGAUCAAAGAACAACAACAAACUAAAGAUAUAGGAAAUCUAUUUGAUGAAAUUAUAGGGAAAAUAUGAUCAAAACAUUUAUAGAACUAUUAAAAACUAAUAAAUAUAUUACUUGAAAACAGAUUUAGAGAAAAUAUUUUAAACUGAAGUCAACAACACACUAAAGAGCUCAUACAUGAUCGAGUUGGUUUUAUUCUAGGGAUGCAGAUGAUUCAACCUACACAUACCAAAAACUGUAAUAGAACACAUAAGAAGACUUAAGGACAGAAAUUUCAUGAUCACCUCAAUGGAUGCAGAAAAACCUUUGUCAGUAUUCAGCAUCCCCUGGGGAAGGGGCCACAAGUGCCAUGUUGGGCCAUGAAGGUGGCAAAAAGAAGCUGUUGAAAUGGCCCAAGAAGCAGGCCAAGGAGAUGGGAGAGGAAGACAAACAGGAACAGAAGGAGGGGACCGGCCAUAGCUGGAAUAAAGAAACCUGGCUAAAGGUAAGCUGUUCCUUGUCCUGAGGUGAUGGUGACACUUUCCUGUGCCUAUUUAACAUCUAUAUUCUCUCCCAUAAUGACUUUUGCCACUUACAGUUAGAGUAAAGUGCCCUGGAGACUGCUGUACAUUUUAAUAAACUUUUUUGUUUACACACACACACACACACACACACACACACACACACACACACACACACACACUGGCUCAUUGUCUCCAGCUUUCAUGCAACUAUUCCUACCUCAGCUGUAAAAGUAAACUCAGUCUGGAAUCCUGCCAGAGCCUGCUAUUUUGGCUCUACUGUGAAUACUGUACCACCUUGAAUUAACUCAACUCAUUUAAAAGAGAAAAUAGAAAUCAACAUCAUUUCGUGGUAAAAGUCCUGAAAAAGCUAGAACUAGAAAGGAACAUACCGUGACAUAAUAAAAGCUCUAUGAGACAUACCUAAUGGUAGUAUAUUAAAUGAGGAAAAUCUGAAAGCAUUUCCUGCACAAUCAAAACACAAAGAAUUGACUCUUAUGCAAUAAUGUGCUUGCAGUCCUAGCACAACAAAGCAAGAAAAAAAAAAAAGGAAAAAUCCAAAGUAUUUUUAUUUGCACAUGACACAAUUAUAUGCUUAUGAGGCCCUAAAAAUCCCACCAGAAAACUCUCAGGUCUGAUAAACAUCCUAGGAAAGUAUCAGGCUACAGAAUCAAAAUAACGAAUCAGGAGCUAUAGACCAAUAAAAUAACAAGAUUGUGAGAGACAAUUCAAGAAAAAAAAUCUCAUUCAUGAUAGUUCUUAAAAAAUAAUACCUAGGAAUAACUAAAGAGGUCAAAGACCUCCACAAUGGAAAGUUGAACCCACUGAUGGGAGAAAUAGAAGACACUAGAGCUUGGAAAAACCUCACAGAUCAGUGGAAUUAAUAUUGUGAAAAUGAUGACAUUAUAAAAAGCGAUCUACAAACUCAAAUUUCCAACAAAAUUUCAAUGGCCUUAUGCACAGAGAUAACUAAAAUUUCUAUGGAGUACAAAAGACUAAAGAGUCAAAGCAAUCUCAGAAAGAGCAAUUAUCACUAUUCCUGAGCUCAAAUUAUACUACAGAGCCAUAGUAACAAAAACACAUGAUAAUACAAAAAUAGCCAC